GGAGGGUGCAAGCGUUAUCCGGAUUUAUUGGGUUUAAAGGGUCCGUAGGCGGACUGAUAAGUCAGUGGUGAAAUCCGACAGCUUAACUGUCGAACUGCCAUUGAUACUGUUAGUCUUGAGUAAGGUUGAAGUGGCUGGAAUAAGUAGUGUAGCGGUGAAAUGCAUAGAUAUUACUUAGAACACCAAUUGCGAAGGCAGGUCACUAAGUCUUAACUGACGCUGAUGGACGAAAGCGUGGGGAGCGAACAGGAUUAGAUACCCUGGUAGUCCACGCCGUAAACGAUGAUUACUCGUUUUUGGGUUUUAUGAUUCAGAGACUAAGCGAAAGUGAUAAGUAAUCCACCUGGGGAGUACGUUCGCAAGAAUGAAACCCAAAGGAAUUGACGGGGGCCCGCACAAGCGGUGGAGCAUGUGGUUUAAUUCGAUGAUACGCGAGGAACCUUACCAAGACUUAAAUGGGAAAUGACAGCUUUAGAAAUAGAGUUUUCUUCGGACAUUUUUCAAGGUGCUGCAUGGUUGUCGUCAGCUCGUGCCGUGAGGUGUUAGGUUAAGUCCUGCAACGAGCGCAACCCCUGUCACUAGUUGCUAACAUUAAGUUGAGGACUCUAGUGAGACUGCCUACGCAAGUAGAGAGGAAGGUGGGGAUGACGUCAAAUCAUCACGGCCCUUACGUCUUGGGCCACACACGUGCUACAAUGGCCGGUACAGAGGGCAGCUACCUAGUGAUAGGAUGCAAAUCUCGAAAGCCGGUCUCAGUUCGGAUUGGAGUCUGCAACUCGACUCUAUGAAGCUGGAAUCGCUAGUAAUCGCGCAUCAGCCAUGGCGCGGUGAAUACGUUCCCGGGCCUU
rnacentral:rRNA from 1 species